rnacentral:lncRNA from 1 species
CAACUCUAGAUUAACCAACCCAAUCCAUUUAACAUGUUUAGUCCUUCCACCUUUGUGAUCCCACACUCCUAAUCAUAUGAGCUAAAAUGUUGCACACUCAAUAUUUGGAAGAUAUAAAAAAACAUAAAUAUAGAUAGAUUAUCUUUCCAUUAGGUUGAGCGAUCUGAUCUGACAAAUGUUAUAAGUGCUACACUCAUGAACUUAUCACCCACCAACUUUGUCUUGCUCCCUAUGCUUAAGGAUAGAGAAGAAUAAAUAUACUUUUGGUUCUGUUGGUGUUUUCCACCAAUAGGGCCCAUGCACUUGAUCUCUGCCUUGUCUCCAUGAGCAGGUACACUUCGAGCAAAACAUGGAGGAAUUUUUCAACUCUAAAACUCUACCAAGUGAAGGACCUGGAUCUAUGAGCACAAACACACUGAGCAAGAUACUGUCAACACCACACUUCGAACUAUUGGGCAAAUGAAGAACAUGGGUGACACCGUAUCAAGAGGUGCAGGCAUCAAGGUCCACACCUAAAUCAAAUGACACACCUAAAGAAUGAACACGGCAAGAAGUCUUGUUCAGAAGACUUAAAACAUUGAACCCUUGCCGAAAGGUAAAAUCGGUAGUUAUCCAUAUUUAUCCUUUCUGCAUUCCCUUUUCCCUUAAAUUAUUUACUUUCCUUAAAUGGCUUGUUAGUUAAUCAUGCUAUCUUGAAAAGAAAAUAAAAAUGAUAAAAAUAGUAAGCCCCAUGUGAGUAUGCUCGUGGCAUAAAACCCAUAAGUACAUUCAUUGUGGUGGCGUAAAAAUAAAAUAAAUAUAUUCCUAUCCUAUAGAAAUGAAAAUAUAAAAAAAAUUAUGAUCCUACCAAAGAGAGUAAUAUUUAUUAGAGGAAGCUCAACAUGAUAAAGGCAAAGAGAUUUUAUGCUAACACUUAACCAGUUCCACAAAGCUUUGUUGUCUAUUUGAGCUUCACAGAAUUCAAGAAUCAAAGAAGACUAGCAGACGGUGCUGUCAGGGUGCUGCAGACAUUCAAAUACACCUCUGCCACCUGCUAGCUACAUCAGAAGAUAUUAUAUCAAAAUCCAGUUUGGGGGAGAGCACCCCCAUUUAUCGAGCUAAGUUUUUCUACGCGUGUUUAUACUUUACUCAAAUAAUAAAAAGAUGCAUAAUCAUAAAAACCCAAAUAAAGAUUUUGUGCUUAUAUAUAUAUAUAUAUCUUUGCUUAGUUUGCUAAAUAAAUAAAUAAAUAAAGUUUGCUAUGAACCCUCAUGAUAAGCUCUCACAUGGAUAUGAUGAAUAGUUGCUCUACCAAAUACCUAGUUUUCAAAUUUGAGCUCUCUCUCAAGUUUAGGCAUGACUGUUAUGAAUUAAGAUUUGCUCUAAACCUGAACUUGUGGGAAGAGUACCUGAUCAAAAGUCUAAGUCGUUAACGGACAUGAUAUAGGAAGGUUGAGCUGCUGUUUAUCUGCUCCUAGAGAUGCUAGAAUUCGGAAGAAUUUUAUCUUUGAAAAUCUUUAAAAUGUUGCAUGAUGAGUUCUUGUAUGAUGAGAGUUUAAAAUCCUACCAUAGCCAUAUAUACAUGCUUAUUAGACUAUGAACCAUACAAUUACUUUUUACUGCUUAUGAGCAUUGAGUGUGGUGAAGCUGUGUAGAUCCUUAGGAGCUUGUCAUGCGGUUAAAAUCAAGAUUCACUUGCACGUUCACUCAUACAUGCUGCUUCUACUCCGGAAGUACGCAUCCACAUACAUCCACUCAUUUCCAUCUCCAGAUUCACCCAAAGUUAUUCUACUCCUAUCCAGGAGAGAAUAGCCAAAAACAUUAUCCAAUUCCUGUUAUUCCCCGUGAAAUAAAUACUCAAGAUAUUUUGGUUACUACCACUUGCUACAUUAUUCCAGGAGGGUGAGUGCUCUAAAAAAAAGUGAAUACGACGAAAUAAAAAGGGGCAAGUGCCCGAAACCUCGAAGAAAAGAAAAAGUGAGACGAGAGGUAAAAAUGGACAAGUGUCCGAUAGUAGAAUUAGGGGUACAAGAUACCCACCUGAGAGAAAAGAAAAACAAGAAAAUAUAGAGCAUCUCAUUCCCCUCAAAAAGCUUCAAAGUGCAAGAAAGGUAUGUAUCCCCUCAAAAUAGCAAAAGUAGAAUUAGACUUUCACCAUUGUUUUCACCAUUAUCACCAUCAUCACCAUACACCAUUCAUUUGCCACACAUGCACAUCUUGAUUUGACUUAUUGACUUGUUUCUCUGGAUUCAUGGUUUGACUAUGCAAUAAAUGUCUUGUAAGUAUGUAUUAGCUGUCUCCCACCUAUGAGCUCCAGAUAUCAAAACCUUAUUAGAGUAGGGUGAGAGAGAAAGCAAUGUCACUAUGCCUCAUACAUACUUUGAGAGAAGGCAUAUACCAUUACUGCCUU